rnacentral:rRNA from 1 species
AAUGAACGUUGGCGGCGUGGAUUAGGCAUGCAAGUCGAGCGGGUAUAGCAAUAUAUCAGCGGCGAAAGGGAGAGUAACGCGUAGCUACGUACCCCAGAGACCGGAAUAGCCAGCCGAAAGGCUGGGUAAUGCCGGAUGAUGUCCCUGGACUAAAGGGUGUGAUUCCGCUUUGGGAGCGGGCUGCGUUGUACUAGCUUGUUGGUAGGGUAAUGGCCUACCAAGGCGAUGAUGCAUACCGGGCGUGAGAGCGUGGCCCGGCUCACUGGGACUGAGACACUGCCCAGACACCUACGGGUGGCUGCAGUCGAGAAUCUUCGGCAAUGAGCGCAAGCUUGACCGAGCGACGCCGCGUGCGGGAUGAAGGCCUUCGGGUUGUAAACCGCUGUCGUAGGGAGGAAGGCUCCGUGAAGAACGGGGUUUGACCUAUCCUAGGAGGAAGUACGGGCUAAGUUCGUGCCAGCCGCCGCCGUAAUAC